ensembl:lncRNA
CCCUAAUCCUUUUUCUUAAUCCUGCUCUUGAGAUUGGCAGUGGAGAAAUUCCAUCUUCUUCCCUGUCCUUUAUCUGGAGUAUCAACUGAGCACUGUCUUAAUUGGUCUUCUCAACAACUGGAGACGGACAGCUAGUGAGAAAAUCCUGAAUCCACCACGACCAACUCUACCACUAUGGCAGAUUCUUUACCAUCUGAACCACCAGGGAAGCCAGAUUGCUGCUGUAAGUUACAAUAAACUUAGUGACUAAACGCAGAAUAUUAUCUUACAGAAGCAUCCUGCCACUUGCAGGAUCUUGGUUCCUGGACCAGUGACUGAACUCCGGUCCCAGCAGUGGAAGCACAGAGUCCUAACCACUGGACCACCAGAGGAUUCCUGGGGAUCCAUUUUUCUUCACCACCUCCUGCAAAACCCACCCCUCCCUCUGCUAUGGAUGCCAUCACCUCUCUGCCCGCACCCAGGGGUCUCCCCUCCAGCUCCGGAGCGCCUUCUCCUCCCUCUGCCUGCUUUGCCGCUGACAGCUAGAAGAUUCCAAGCCAACCAUUUUGUAGAAGGUCCCUCGUCUGGGUUUGUUUGAUGUUUCCCUUUGAUUAAAUUCAGGUUAUACAUUUUUGAGAGGAAAUCACAGUUUCAUUUCUUCACAUGAAAAUAUUGAAUCCAUUUGGAAUUAAUUUGGGUAUAAAUGAUAUAUUUUUCCUCACUUAUAUGAAACACCUCCUUUAUCAUAUAGCAAAUAUUUAAUUGCAUAUCUUUUAUCUUUCUGCUCUUCAAAGCCAGUGUCACACUGUUUUAAUUACCCUGGCUUCGUAAUAUGCACCCCCCAAACACGGUAAUGAGCAGAGUCCCCCUAAUCAUGCUUCUUUUCUCAGAAACUUCCUGGCUCUUCUCGCUCAUUAAAUCUUCCAGAUGCACCUUAGAAUCGUGUUAUCAAGUUCCUUAAAAAGUACCUUUGUGAUUUAGGUUGUCGAACUUUGAAAUCACUGUGGGCAAAACGGGCAGCUUUAAUACUAAACCUUCCAUAGAGGAGCAGUGUCUGUGUAUCAUCCACACUUUCUGUGACUCGGUAAAGCUUUGUACUCUUUUUCAUGAAGUUCCUGCCCUUUUCUCUGGGAGCUGGUGACUACUUUUGAGUCUCUUGUGAAC